rnacentral:rRNA from 1 species
UACGGAGGGUGCGAGCGUUGUCCGGAAUCACUGGGCGUAAAGGGCGCGUAGGCGGUCUGCUAAGCGUGUGGUGAAAGCUCGGGGCUCAACCCCCGAGUCUGCCAUGCGAACUGGUGGACUUGAGCACUGUAGAGGCAGGUGGAAUUCCGGGUGUAGCGGUGGAAUGCGUAGAGAUCCGGAAGAACACCAGUGGCGAAGGCGGCCUGCUGGGCAGUUGCUGACGCUGAGGCGCGCAGCGUGGGGAGCAACAGG